rnacentral:siRNA from 1 species
CGAAUGGUGACUACGUUUUGCGGU